rnacentral:rRNA from 1 species
UACGAAGGGGGCUAGCGUUGCUCGGAAUUACUGGGCGUAAAGCGCACGUAGGCGGUCUUUUAAGUCGGUGGUGAAAUCCUGGAGCUCAACUCCAGAACUGCCUUCGAUACUGGAAGACUUGAGUCCGGGAGAGGUGAGUGGAACUGCGAGUGUAGAGGUGAAAUUCGCAGAUAUUCGCAAGAACACCAGUGGCGAAGGCGGCUCACUGGCCCGAUACUGACGCUGAGGCACGAAAGCGUGGGGAGCAAACAGG